rnacentral:rRNA from 1 species
CGCUGGCGGCGUGCCUAACACAUGCAAGUCGAACGGAACUUCUUUAAAGGAUUUCUUCGGAAUGAAUUUGAUUAAGUUAGUGGCGGACGGGUGAGUAACGCGUGAGUAACCUGCCUCUAAGAGGGGAAUAACAUUCUGAAAAGAAUGCUAAUACCGCAUAAUAUAUAUUUAUCGCAUGGUAGAUAUAUCAAAGAUUUAUCGCUUAGAGAUGGACUCGCGUCCGAUUAGUUAGUUGGUGAGGUAACGGCUCACCAAGACCGCGAUCGGUAGCCGGACUGAGAGGUUGAACGGCCACAUUGGGACUGAGACACGGCCCAGACUCCUACGGGAGGCAGCAGUGGGGGAUAUUGCGCAAUGGGGAAACCCUGACGCAGCAACGCCGCGUGAAGGAUGAAGGUCUUCGGAUUGUAAACUUCUUUUAUUAAGGACGAAGAAAGUGACGGUACUUAAUGAAUAAGCUCCGGCUAACUACGUG